UAUAAAGUAAAAGUUAUCAAAUAUGAACUACCAACUGUUAAGAUAUACACUAUACUCUAUAUUUAGACAAUUAAAAUUGUGCUGGGCAUCCCUCAUCAUACAAUUGUCAUGUGAAGUCAUUUCUUUUUCAAGAUUUACUUGUUUAUAAUAAGAAUCCUUUUAAAUUUUGAUUUUUCUACCAUUGCGUCCAAAUGCUGUUAUGUCUUGCAUCACCAUUUGGCUUUUCCGCAGUUUGAUGUUUGGUUUAAAAGAUGUUCCUGAAUGUUAACAGGACAUCCAAAUCCACUUCUCAAU